GACGAACGCUGGCGGCGUGCUUCAUACAUGCAAGUCGAACGAGAAGUUACCUUCGGGUAAUGGAAAGUGGCGGACGGGUGAGUAAUAUGUAGAGAAUCUGCCCUUGAGAGGGGGACAACAGAGGGAAACUUCUGCUAAUACCCCAUAUGAGCGUAGCUGAAAUGCUAUUCUUGAAAACUCCGGUGGUAUAUGAUGGAUCCGUGUCUGAUUAGGUAGUUGGUGGGGUAACGGCUCACCAAGCCGACGAUCAGUAGCCGGCCUGAGAGGGUGAACGGCCACAUUGGGACUGAGACACGGCCCAAACCUCCUACGGGAGGCAGCAGUGGGGAAGUAUUGCACAAUGGGCGAAAGCCUGAUGCAGCAACGCCGCGUGAAGGAAGAAGGU
rnacentral:rRNA from 1 species